UACGUAGGGGGCAAGCGUUGUCCGGAUUCAUUGGGCGUAAAGAGCGUGUAGGCGGCCAGGUAGGUCGGUUGUGAAAACUGGAGGCUCAACCUUCAGACGUCGACCGAAACCAUCUGGCUAGAGUCCGGGAGAGGAGAGUGGAAUUCCUGGUGUAGCGGUGAAAUGCGUAGAUAUCAGGAGGAACACCGAUGGCGAAGGCAGCUGCCUGGCCUAACACUGACGCUGAGGUGCGAAAGCGUGGGGAGCAAACAGG
rnacentral:rRNA from 1 species